rnacentral:rRNA from 1 species
UACGGGGGGGAGCAAGCGUUUGUUCGGAUUUACUGGGCGUAAAAGGGCGCGUAGGCGGUCGUGACAAGUCACUUGUGAAAUCUCCGGGCUUAACUCGGAACGGUCAAGUGAUACUGUCGUGCUAGAGUACAGAAGGGGCAACUGGAAUUCCUGGUGUAGCGGUGAAAUGCGCAGAUAUCAGGAGGAACACCGGUGGCGAAGGCGGGUCUCUGGGCCGUAACUGACGCUGAGGAGCGAAAGCAUGGGGAGCGAACAGG